rnacentral:rRNA from 1 species
UGGGGAAUAUUGCGCAAUGGGGGCAACCCUGACGCAGCAACGCCGCGUGAUUGAAGAAGGCCUUCGGGUUGUAAAGAUCUUUAAUCAGGGACGAAAAAUGACGGUACCUGAAGAAUAAGCUCCGGCUAACUACGUGCCAGCAGCCGCGGUAAUACGUAGGGAGCAAGCGUUAUCCGGAUUUACUGGGUGUAAAGGGCGCGCAGGCGGGCCGGCAAGUUGGAAGUGAAAUCCCGGGGCUUAACUCCGGAACUGCUUUCAAAACUGCUGGUCUUGAGUGAUGGAGAGGCAGGCGGAAUUCCGUGUGUAGCGGUGAAAUGCGUAGAUAUACGGAGGAACACCAGUGGCGAAGGCGGCCUGCUGGACAUUAACUGACGCUGAGGCGCGAAAGCGUGGGGAGCAAACA